rnacentral:rRNA from 1 species
AUUGAACGCUGGCGGAAUGCUUUACACAUGCAAGUCGCACGGCAGCACGGACUUCGGUCUGGUGGCGAGUGGCGAACGGGUGAGUAACAUAUCGGAACGUAUCCAAUAAUGGGGGAUACCUAAUCGAACGGUUGGCUAAUACCGCAUCCGCCCUACGGGGGAAAGCUAGGGACCUUCGGGUCUGACGUUAAUGGAGCGGCCGAUAUCUGAUUAGCUAGUUGGUGGGGUAAAGGCCCACCAAGGCGACGAUCAGUAGCUGGUCUGAGAGGACGACCAGCCACACUGGAACUGAGACACGGUCCAGACUCCUACGGGAGGCAGCAGUGGGGAAUUUUGGACAAUGGGCGCAAGCCUGAUCCAGCCAUUCCGCGUGAGUGAAGAAGGCCUUCGGGUUGUAAAGCUCUUUCGCAAGGGAAGAAAACUUAGCCUCUAACAUAGGCUGAGGUUGACGGUACCUUGAUAAGAAGCACCGGCUAACUACGUGCCAGCCGCCGCAGUAA